AUUACAAAUCAACCAUUGACUUAAUUAAGAAAUAUUUCGAAUAUACAAGUCCAAAACUCCCAAGUAAACCAUAAUGAUUACAAACCACAACACCCAAGUAUAACAAAAUUUACACUUUAGAAUAUCCAAUAACGUACAAAAGGUAUAUUAGUUUCAACCAAAAGUUGCUAGUCUAGAACCUCCAAUUUCCACCUCCAAAGCCUAUUAAGAAAAACAAACUUAAAGGGAUGAGCUAAUACUCAGUGAGACCAAGAAAGCAAGCAAGCAAACACGUAGGACCAAUUAAUCAAAUAGCAUGUUUGAAAGCAUCUUUAACAUGAACUUUCAUUUAAAUGCACAAGUAGGAAAUAAACAUACAAGGAAGGAUACGGGAGCUCUCAGGAGCUAUUUCCACGUCUUGACCGAUUCAAACCAUUUGGGGUUGACUCUCCGACAACUCAAGUAGAAACAUGACCGUAGUGCUCCACUUACUUCCUCCAUUCAACAUAACACCCUUUCGGAUCUGAAACCAAAUACGCAUGAGGUGGCGAUACUAUUCAAGUAUGCCAAGCGAGAUCUCAAAAUAUCAAAUUAAAAAAAUUUUCAAGGUUCACCAAGCUUCUCAACCAAGCCCUUAUCGGCACGAGUUACAAGGUUAACCAAUGGGUUAGGGCAUCUCCACAAGUAUAAGUGGUCAAUGAGAUAUCGCUCCAAUCGACUUAAAAUUGUUUAUGGCUUUGAGUCAGUAUGAAAGGCUCCUACAAACUGAAUAGGGUGUGGUACAUGCUUCCGCUCAGAGAAUCGAUCAUAGCACUGAGUCUGUAUGAGAGACACCUCCCACCCGAAUAGGGUGUGGUACAUGCUUCCGCUCAAUGCUCACGAGUUAACAUGUUCAUGUACAAAUGCAAGUCAUAUAUAUUCAUUUAACAAGUAUCAUGUAAUCAGGAGAGAGAGAGGAUGAGGGCGGUAAAGUACACCCUCCCCUCAGCAAGUGCAUGUAUCAUAUAGCACUUGUACAAAUAGCGAUUCAAUCAUAAUAACAUUGAACAUGCACUUGACAUUCACCAAAAUUCAAGAAAAAACAAGAGCAAAGAGAGAAGUCAGAUGAGCUCUUCGGCGUCCUCGUGACCACGUGAGACAUGCACAAUCAUGAUUAUCUAGAUACUCAACAAAGGUUAUAAAGAAAACAUUUUCUUGUUACCCACACUCAAGGUCACAAGUCGAGUCAAGUUAAAGGAGUUUUUUUCGCUAAAUUAUUGAAAUAAUGCUCAAAGAGAAUUCAAAUGGUGUUUUUUGAUUCAAGUCGUGAUAAGAAAUCUCAAUUCCAAAAGAAAGUAUCAUAUUUACUUUCGACACGAAAAUCGAGAAAAAGGUAGAUCGUUUCCAUCCCCCAAAACUUUUAAUCUCAUGUCCAAAAGUUAGAAUAUAAAGAACGUUCACAUUUUCCAAACUAAUGGGUCAAAACUCAUCCAAGACUCCACUCAUUUUCAUGGUAAAUGUCAAAGCUAAAGGUUCCAAGUUUCGAGUAUAAAACUAAUGAAAAUUUUCAAGAAUUACUCCAGUUAAACGCUCCAUUUUUAUGGUUCAAACUCAUGGAAAUCGACGGCAUAAGACUAGGGAUUGAAGUCCAUUUCUUAAGUAUGAAAAGAUGUGUCGUUAACCAAGGAAGUUAAACAAUCAAGAAAACGUAUCAAGAGAGGUUUAAAUCCUUUGGAAUCUUAGAUUCAAAAUGAAGGUUUAAAGUUCAAAAAGACCUUGUAUCCAACCAUGAAACUAAACUUAAAACGGACCGACAAUCUCAAAGGAAGGUUGAAAGUGCUUAAAAGAGUCCUUUGUUUGAAAUCAGAAAAUUUCCAGUUUGGUGCGCACUACUUGGAAAAAUCAUAUCUUGAGUUUCGUAAGUCCAAAAAUUGGAAGCUUUAUACCGUUAGAAACUAGACUUGAUGCACUAAAACUCUUUAGAAGACACUUUUUCUCAAACUUCAAUUCGAAAUCAUUCAAAUUUUAGUUCAAAAUCACCGUUCCAGACAGGACAGAGCAAAACAGACUUGCAAUUUUAGUAAACUUUGAAAAUUCGGCAAAAUUUGUCAAAAUGAAAUCAACCCUUGAAAUUUAUACCACACAGAAUUCCAAAUCUAGUUUCAAAUGCAACAAACGGAACUCAAUUCGGACCUUUCUACACCAAGAUACAAUAGAACAGAUUUUCAAAAUCUGAUCAUAACUGAAGCUACACAACUCAAAAUUUAGCGUGGUUUACGGCGUCGAAAACUAGGUUCAAAAGGUUACAAUUCACUAGAAGGAACUGUCUUAAAAUUUGUUUUGCAAGAUCGGCGAAAUCAAGCUACAAACUGCAGCUAGGUUGGUUUCUCGGAUGAAAACAAUGAGGAAAAUCAGUUAUCAUUGCCAGUUCACUACGGUUCAUAGGAAACGAAUUAGGAGGUGCAUUUUAUAUCGUUAGAAAGCCUCGGAGUCUAGUUUCAGAUGCCACAAAUGGCACUUGAUUUCAACUCCCAUACAAAAAGUUAUGACCCAAAACGUGAACACUGGUCGGAGCUCCUGGUCAGAAAAUUUUCCAGAUUUCUUCUUCACUUAAUACUUUAACUCAACCAAUUGUAAAGCUUUUUGGGAGAUAUUUAACACAUAUAAACACCAGCAUAUAUCAAGCAUUAUAGCACCCAAAUAAUAACAAAAUUCGAAAUUAACAUGAGAGAUUCAACCAGCCAAAAAUUCGGACAAGGUUCUCUACCUAGUGUCAAGGUUCUUGUGAACCCAUUAACAACCCAAAGACUAACUAGAUAAACUAACUAACUACUAUAAGUUGAGAGGGAAAAGAUGAGAACUUGGAGGGUUACCUUGCUUCCAAGAAUGAAGACCAACCACUAGUGUAUAAGCUCUUGAACCACCAAAGUUCCUUCCUCCUUCAAGCCACCCUUCAAGCUUGUAUGAAGAACCAAGAAAAGAAGCAAAUUUGGAGAGUCUUCUUGGAGGAAAAUGGAAGACAAGGGAGCUGAAAUUUUUGGUAGGAAAUGAGGGAGGGGGAGUCGGCCAAGGGAGAGAGAAGGAAGAAAGGUUUUGGGUGGUAGUUGGGUGAUUUGAUG
rnacentral:lncRNA from 1 species